AGUGAACGCUGGCGGUAGGCCUAACACAUGCAAGUCGAACGGCAGCCCAGGAGAGCUUGCUCUCUGGGUGGCGAGUGGCGGACGGGUGAGGAAUACAUCGGAAUCUACUUUUUCGUGGGGGAUAACGUAGGGAAACUUACGCUAAUACCGCAUACGACCUACGGGUGGAAGCAGGGGAUCUUCGGACCUUGCGCGAUUGAAUGAGCCGAUGUCGGAUUAGCUAGUUGGCGGGGUAAAGGCCCACCAAGGCGACGAUCCGUAGCUGGUCUGAGAGGAUGAUCAGCCAAACUGGAACUGAGACACGGUCCAGACUCCUACGGGAGGCAGCAGUGGGGAAUAUUGGACAAUGGGCGCAAGCCUGAUCCAGCCAUACCGUGUGGGUGAAGAAGGCCUUCGGGUUGUAAAGCCCUUUUGUUGGGAAAGAAAUCCAGCUGGUUAAUACCCGGUUGGGAUGACGGUACCCAAAGAAUAAGCACCGGCUAACUUCGUGCCAGCCGCCGCGGUAA
rnacentral:rRNA from 1 species